CAGACACACACACACAACCUUCUUGGAACCAGAGGAACAUGGUGGGGCGAUAUAUAAGAGCAGUGCAACUCCGAAAAGGACAUAGACUCUACAGCACUCGAUACACUGAGGACCAUCUCUGGAAACAUAGACCAGGGCAGACCAUCAACAGCUCUUCAAGCCUCCUGCAGUAUUUUACUCUUAGGACACCUCACCUGCUCUCCAAUAUAAUGUAUCUUCUGGGACUCUGUACACUGGCCCUGCUGGCCUCCACCAUCGCACAGAAUGUUUCAACAAUAGCUUCUUUCACUCCUACAAUCGCUGGUUCUGCUCCUACAAUCACUGGUUCUGCUCUUACAAGCGCUGGUCCUGUUGCUCCUACAAGCGCUGGUCCUGUUGCUCCUACAACCGCUGUGCCAGCUCUUACAACCUCUGUUCCUGCUCCUGCAACAGCAGCAACUGUCCAAUCUUCCAAACCAAGUGGCAGCCCAGCAACCGGAGCGUCUCUGUUGUGUUCUGUGAUGAUUCUUCUGCUCUACAGCCUGUAGUACUAAGUGGUGGACCCCCUCUGGCCUGGAGUUUGUAUUGUUCAGGACUAUAUAGACUGAGUGGCUAAGAAUGAUCCCAGAGCCAAUGAACAAAGCAAACAUGUAUCUGGAAGAAUGGAUUUUCCUCUACUAGAACACCAGUCAUUGAUGUUUCAUGUUAGAGGUUAAUCUUUGUAUAUGGACACGUUAUGAGAGAAGCAAAUUCUUCUUAAAUUGAAAUUUGGGUGGGUGGAUUGGAGGGAAGAAGGGGUGGAGGGAGGGGUUGGGGUUGUACUGUUUUUCUGUUCUCAUAUCUGAAAAUCUAUAAAGAAAGUACAACAAAAAGCAUUUGUUGUAAACCGUCACCAAUGGGUAAAAACCAUUGGGCUAAGAGAUAUUGGUUGUGUUUUGAACACUGACAGUUUUACGAACUUGAUUCCACUGCCCUUUUAGACUUAUUCUUGUCCGUUUGUUUUAUUAAGUUGAAAUGUACUGAUUAGAGGGAAUGAGUUCAUGUUGUAGACAAUAUACUUGAUUGUAAUCCAAUUUCUAUGUUAAUAAAUGCAUGUAUGGAAGUACAAUCAAAAACAGUAUAAUAAAAUAAUAGACCGUGUGACUACUUACAUAUUAAGCAUUAUGAGCAUUAGCAAUAGAACAAAGUUGUAUUUUCUUGUGUUACUGUGUAAGACGGAGACAUAACGCAAUGCAGAUGUAGGAUCUGAAUUUGAUCACCCUGUUGCAGGAGAACUUUCCUGCACUGCAGGACAUUUAAAAAAAAAAUUGUAGUGUAUUUUAGUUAAAAAGGGUCAGAAUGUGUCAUUUCCACUUUUAAAUUUCAGAUGUGGUUUUCCCUUACAAAAAAAAUUACAUAAUAAUUAACAUUUCCUGUUGCUGCAGGAUUAUUUUCCUGCUGUAGCAAACUGGUUCAAAUUACGAUCCUACAUCUGUGUAUGUGAAGGCUGAGCUAGUGUGAAAUUGUACACAAAACUCAAUCCUUUAGUCUUCAUAUCGCCAGAUAGCCAGCAACGCUUUGUGGAUGAUCUCCUCUGAAUUUGUUCUGUUGAAAAACAGUGGCCAUUUUUCCCAAAAUUCAACAGAUUUUGAAAGACUGUUAGUUAUACUGCUUGGUUGAGGUGGAUAGUUUCAUUGACAUGUAUUCCUACUGUAUUCGUUACAGGAAAUAAAUGCAAGGCUUUUUUUCAUCCCUCC